rnacentral:rRNA from 1 species
AACGAACGCUGGCGGCAUGCCUAACACAUGCAAGUCGAACGGGAUCCAGGCUUCGGCCUGGUGAGAGUGGCGGACGGGUGAGUAACACGUGGGAACCUGCCUUUUGGUUCGGGAUAACCGCGGGAAACUGCGGCUAAUACCGGAUGCUCCCGAGAGGGGAAAGAUUUAUCGCCAGAAGAGGGGCCCGCGUCCGAUUAGGUAGUUGGUGAGGUAAUGGCUCACCAAGCCGACGAUCGGUAGCUGGUCUGAGAGGAUGAUCAGCCACACUGGGACUGAGAUACGGCCCAGACUCCUACGGGAGGCAGCAGUGGGAAUAUUGGACAAUGGGGGCAACCCUGAUCCAGCAAUGCCGCGUGAGUGAUGAAGGCCUUAGGGUUGUAAAGCUCUUUGCCAGGGAAGAUGAUGACUGUACCUGGAGAAUAAGCCCCGGCUAACUUCGUGCCAGCAGCCGCGGUAAU